rnacentral:rRNA from 1 species
UACGGGGGGGGCAAGCGUUGUUCGGAAUUACUGGGCGUAAAGGGCUCGUAGGCGGCCAACUAAGUCAGACGUGAAAUCCCUCGGCUUAACCGGGGAACUGCGUCUGAUACUGGUUGGCUUGAAUCCGGGAGAGGGAUGUGGAAUUCCAGGUGUAGCGGUGAAAUGCGUAGAUAUCUGGAGGAACACCGGUGGCGAAGGCGGGUCUCUGGACAGUUCCUGACGCUGAGGCACGAAGGCCAGGGGAGCAAACGGG